rnacentral:rRNA from 1 species
UACAGAGGUGGCAAGCGUUAAUCGGAAUUACUGGGCGUAAAGCGUGCGUAGACGGUUGCGUAAGUCAGAUGUGAAAGCCCCGGGCUCAACCUGGGAAUUGCAUUUGAGACUGCGUAGCUAGGGUGCGGAAGAGGGAAGCGGAAUUUCCGGUGUAGCGGUGAAAUGCGUAGAUAUCGGAAGGAACACCAGUGGCGAAAGCGGCUUCCUGGUCCAGCACCGACGUUCAGGCACGAAGCG